UGGGGAAUAUUGCACAAUGGGCGCAAGCCUGAUGCAGCCAUGCCGCGUGUAUGAAGAAGGCCUUCGGGUUGUAAAGUACUUUCAGUCGGGAGGAAGGUGGUAAGGUUAAUAGCCUUAUCAAUUGACGUUACCGACAGAAGAAGCACCGGCUAACUCCGUGCCAGCAGCCGCGGUAAUACGGAGGGUGCAAGCGUUAAUCGGAAUUACUGGGCGUAAAGCGCACGCAGGCGGUUGAUUGAGUCAGAUGUGAAAUCCCCGGGCUUAACCCGGGAAUUGCAUCUGAUACUGGUCAGCUAGAGUCUUGUAGAGGGGGGUAGAAUUCCAUGUGUAGCGGUGAAAUGCGUAGAGAUCUGGAGGAAUACCGGUGGCGAAGGCGGCCCCCUGGACAAAGACUGACGCUCAGGUGCGAAAGCGUGGGGAGCAAACAGG
rnacentral:rRNA from 1 species